rnacentral:rRNA from 1 species
CCUACCUAUCAGAGGGGAAGUAACCCGGCGAAAGUCGGACUAAUACCGCAUAAAACAAGGGGCACCGCAUGGUGAUAUUUGUUAAAGAAAUUCGCUGAUAGAUGGGCAUGCGUUCCAUUAGGUAGUUGGUGAGGUAACGGCUCACCAAGCCGACGAUGGAUAGGGGAACUGAGAGGUUGGUCCCCCACCACUGGUACUGAGACACGGACCAGACUCCUACGGGAGGCAGCAGUGAGGAAUAUUGGUCAAUGGGCGGGAGCCUGAACCAGCCAAGUCGCGUGAAAAGGAAGAAGGAUCUAUGGUUCGUAAACUUCUUUUGCAGGGGAAUAAAGUGCAGGACGUGUCCUGUUUUGUAUGUACCCUGAGAAUAAGGAUCGGCUAACUCCGUGCCAGCAGCGGC